CUGCAACCCGCCCACAUGAAGUUGGAGUUGCUAGUAAUCGCGGAUCAGCAUGCCGCGGUGAAUACGUUCCCGGGCCUUGUACACACCGCCCGUCACACCAUGGGAGUUGGGAGCACCCGAAGCCGGUGAGUUGACCGCAAGGGGACAGCCGUCGAAGAUGAGACUGAUGACUGGGGUAAAGUCGUAACAAGGUAUC
rnacentral:rRNA from 1 species